rnacentral:tRNA from 1 species
AAUAGCUAAUCUAAUAAAAGACUACUAAUUUCGACUUAGUAAAUCGUGAUUAACUCCACGGCUAUUAA